AAAUCUGGGACCUCCUCUAGUUCUCAACCUUUGACCCUACCUGAUCAAACUUUUGCCAGGGGAGCCUGAAACCAAGCCUGUUAAAACACGUAAACGCCUUCUCUAGCUCCAUGAUGGAGCGCUGCGAGAAGCCCACCAGACAGGCUGUGGGUGUAAUAACACACCGUUACCAGCCCAAAUAUCACAUGAUGUCUAAAUCCCCACCGAUAAAUGGCGGCUCAGAGUCCCAGAAGCACCGAGUCCUGGGUCCUUCCUGUCUCUAUGACUGUAAGUGGGUAGACCUCAGGCUCUGGGGGCAGCAGUAAGCGGUUAUGCAGAAGCUGCAGGAGUCGGAGGGGUGUCUGCUGAUGUGAGCUUUGCAAGGUGGAAAUUCAAUCAGGGUUAUAAAUUAAGUUGAGUAAGAUAACAUUUUGUAUCAAAUAGAGAUACACAAAAGACUAUUUAACAUUUGUGAGAAAAUAUAUUUUCAUAAUACCACUUUAAAAAGGUUUCCAAAAUCCUCGCCAUGAAGAGACAGGCCGCCUGAAAUCCCUCAACUGCAAAACGUAGAUCGGCUUUUGAUGAAUGUAACAAUGACAGGAAAACUGAAAUUUAAACCUGUCAAAUAAUUAUUGUUUUGUUGUAAAAAAAAAAAAAAGGUUUGCCACAAACUACAACUUAUAUCUACCUUGACAACUAAUGACCCUCGUGGAGAAAUUGACUGGUGACUAAUCACGAAUGUACGAUUGUUUAGGAAAAACCUGAUCUUUUCCUAAUUAGUGAAUGUCUCUUGGAACAACUAAGCUCCAAGAGGUUCAUUUGGCAAGACUCAGUGUGGACGCUAACCUGCAGCCACUUUAGUUACUUUUAGUAUCAAUGAGCUGUUCAAAAAAGAAGUCAGAUGAAGCACAAAAGGUAAAAGAUGAUUCUAAAAUAAGAGAAACCCUUUUACUUCACAGGCAUGGCACGCAUGGUCCUUUGAGACAAGUGGUGAGAUUUCAGUGAAAAACAAGAAGUUGAAUAAGAAUUUCUCAACGGUAGACGAGUUGAUGGCACUGUUGCCUUGCAAAAAUAAGAUAUUAGAUUUGAAUCCCGGUCUUGUUUUUGUCUGUAUGAGCCAUGUGAGUGUGUUGGGGUUUAAGGGAGGGCUUCUCAGUGGGUAUUACAGCUUCCUCCCACAGUCUAAAAACGUGAGUUAAUGGCUUAAUGGGAGUGUGUGUACAUUGUCGUUUCUCUGUGUGUUUCCCUGUGAUGAAACGGCAACCUGUACAGGGUGUACCUCCUCUAGACUGAUGAUCGCUGCAGAUGGGCACCAAUAUUUUACCAGGAUCUUGUCUUGAUGAUGGGAGAAUCCAACCACUGUGCAAAGUCUGGACUUGAGACGACCCUCAGAUUACAGGACUGCCCUCUCUGGCUUGUACAGGCAUGAUGGGUUCAUCACUUCAUCUGCAACACUUUUUACCCCGAUGUGCUCCUCACACCAGAAGAAGAAAGAUUUCCACAUAAGCCAAAUCAGGGAGGUGCAGGCAUGCUUUGCAAAUCCUCUGCGGACAGAGGAAACAUGGAAGGGGCACGUGAUCGCACAUGGCGUUGGCACACUCCGAACCCCGCAGGCUAAACAGGUGAGGUUUAAGAAAAAGCCAUACAGGGUGUAGGAACAUUCGCGGGAUUAAAGGGGACAAGGACCCACCUUCACGCCCCCGUUUCUUAAUCUGUGCUUUUGUGACCAGCACACACAAAGAUUGUGAAGAUGUAUGCAAGUGAUCUGAGAGUUAAAGCCGGAGGUUUUGGAUGAGUGUGUUCAAUGACAUUGGAGGGACAACGACCAUAAACUACUCCACAUUUUACACCGUCAGCACACACGCCUGACCCUGCUGUCUGGAAACCAGGUCACGCCACAAGUCCGGCCUUCAGUUUGUAAUAAAGAUGUUUUAUGAAAAAAAAAAAAAAAAAAGCUUUAUUAUUAGUAUAGGAAUACUUGUUUAAAAAAUUAAAAAUGGCAAACUUAUAGUCAGAAAUUUGGUCCAGGACAUUUUGUUUAAGAAACACACAGUCGGAAUCUGACCAUAGCGGCGAAGAUGAUCGAAAAACUCUUCUUGUGUAGAGCGCAGAUGAGUAGCUGUGCUUACAUUACAAAUGUGCGCAAAACUUUGUCGAUAUUCCGCUUAUGUUGGGG